UACAGAGGUCCCAAGCGUUGUUCGGAUUCACUGGGCGUAAAGGGUGUGUAGGCGGUUGGGCAAGUUUGUUGUGAAAUCUCCAAGCUCAACUUGGAAAAUGCAAUGAAAACUGCCCGGCUAGAGGAUUGUAGGGGGAACUGGAAUUCUCGGUGUAGCAGUGAAAUGCGUAGAUAUCGAGAGGAACACCAGUGGCGAAGGCGAGUUCCUGGACAAAUCCUGACGCUGAGGCACGAAAGCUGGGGGAGCAAACAGG
rnacentral:rRNA from 1 species